ensembl:lncRNA
GCAGGAUGUGUCGCAGCUGCUUCCCACGCUGGUAAAACUUUUUGUAUUUCAGAUGAGAUGCAAAGUCACUUCCUACAAGCUCCUCAAACCUGCGGUGAUCCGCGCAAAUUCACAGCCCGCUGCCUUCACGACUCGUACUUUUCGGAAGAAACCGGCAGAAAAGCCCUUUAAUCGCUCUUGGGCGGCUGAUAAGCCGAGGCGGCCUGGAUGCAGUUUGACAGUUUGCUGAAGCUGCAGAUGAAGUUUGAGAUAUUUGAACCUGCCUCAACAGGAAACGAGAAAUAGAGCGCCGCUGACGCACAACUGAAACCCGCGUCCAUGAAGUCUGGAUUUUCCCCUCUGGCUCUGUCUUUGUGCCUCAACAGCUUCGGCCCCACCAUGUUGCCUGGCCGUCUGUGAACUGAGGCGAUGGACAGCCCGUCCUCCACAGUGAGGCGGCGAGCCUGGAUCAACAGCAGCCGACAGUGGCCCACUCUGGAGGAACCUGACCGGACGCUGUGCAGCUUUCAGUCGGCCUCCAUAGCAGACGAUGAUGUCUUUUCUGAUGGAUGCUUCACAGGAAAGAUUGAGAACUGGCUCCUCGGCUGUGGGUCAGAUGCCUGCAGAGAGAGCAGCGGUCAGCUGAGUUUUGAGUCUGUGCUACAAGCAAACAACUUUGCUGAUGACCUAAGUCUUGGAGCCGAUGGUAAGCACAGAUUUUGCAUACAUGCGUAUACAUGGACACACAGUUCCCAUAAUGUUUACGUCACUUUAGAGGUGGAGGAGGUUACAUUUACUUACAUUCAUUUCCUGCCAGCUACAUAACCUGGUCCUUACUUUAACC